rnacentral:rRNA from 1 species
AUUGAACGCUGGCGGCAGGCCUAACACAUGCAAGUCGAACGGUAACAGGGAUCAGCUUGCUGAUUCGCUGACGAGUGGCGGACGGGUGAGUAAUGUCUGGGAAACUGCCUGAUGGAGGGGGAUAACUACUGGAAACGGUAGCUAUUACCGCAUAACGUCGCAAGACCAAAGAGGGGGACCUUCGGGCCUCUUGCCAUCGGAUGUGCCCAGAUGGGAUUAGCUAGUAGGUGGGGUAACGGCUCACCUAGGCGACGAUCCCUAGCUGGUCUGAGAGGAUGACCAGCCACACUGGAACUGAGACACGGUCCAGACUCCUACGGGAGGCAGCAGUGGGGAAUAUUGCACAAUGGGCGCAAGCCUGAUGCAGCCAUGCCGCGUGUAUGAAGAAGGCCUUCGGGUUGUAAAGUACUUUCAGCGGGGAGGAAGGGAGUAAAGUUAAUACCUUUGCUCAUUGACGUUACCCGCAGAAGAAGCACCGGCUAACUCCGUG